AAGUCGUAACAAGGUUUCCGUAGGUGAACCUGCGGAAGGAUCAUUAACACGGUUAGAUUUUCCAUUUGGAUUGUCAGUCUAUUUUUCUUUAAUCGCCGCGCACCUUGUUAAAAAACGGACUUUGUUCGAACCAGGAAAUUGAGAGCAAGCUGCUUGAUUGAUGGGUGGCCUCUCGGUUGACAAACGACUUGGUUUUUGAAUCUCACGGUCCGUCAUCAAUCACUUGGAGCUUUCUUUUUGAUAAACACCUUUUCGUACUACUACCAGUCUGAAUCGUUUGAUCUCUCUGCCUCUUUUUCUUUUUUCUUUCUGCGAAAAGAGAGAGAGAGAGCGUUGGGAAAGAACAAAAAACAAAACUUUGAACAACUCUUAGCAACGGAUAUCUCGGUUCUC
rnacentral:misc_RNA from 1 species